rnacentral:rRNA from 1 species
AACGAACGCUGGCGGCAUGCCUAACACAUGCAAGUCGAACGAGAUCUUCGGGUCUAGUGGCGCACGGGUGCGUAACGCGUGGGAAUCUGCCCUCAGGUUCGGAAUAACCAUUGGAAACGAUGGCUAAUACCGGAUGAUGACGUUAAGUCCAAAGAUUUAUCGCCUGAGGGUGAGCCCGCGUAGGAUUAGCUAGUUGGUGUGGUAAAGGCGCACCAAGGCGACGAUCCUUAGCUGGUCUGAGAGGAUGAUCAGCCACACUGGGACGGAGACACGCCCCAGCCUCCAAGGGGAGGCAGAGGGGGGAAAAUUGGGCCAAGGGGGAAACGCCAACGCCGCCAGUCCGGUGUGGGUCUUCAGGGCGUAGGGGUUUUAAGCCUUUUUCCCCGGGGUAGUUAAGGCAAUUACCGGAAAAAUACCCCCGGGCUACCUC